UUUUACAAUGAAGAGUUUGAUCCUGGCUCAGGAUGAACGCUAGCUACAGGCUUAACACAUGCAAGUCGAGGGGCAGCGGGAUUGAAGCUUGCUUCAAUCGCCGGCGACCGGCGCACGGGUGAGUAACGCGUAUCCAACCUUCCGUACACUCAGGGAUAGCCUUUCGAAAGAAAGAUUAAUACCUGAUGGUAUGAUGAGAUUGCAUGAU
rnacentral:rRNA from 1 species